rnacentral:rRNA from 1 species
CCUACGGGAGGCUGCAGUGGGGAAUAUUGCACAAUGGGCGCAAGCCUGAUGCAGCCAUGCCGCGUGUGUGAAGAAGGCCUUCGGGUUGUAAAGCACUUUCAGCGGGGAGGAAGGCGUUAAGGUUAAUAACCUUGUCGAUUGACGUUACCCGCAGAAGAAGCACCGGCUAACUCCGUGCCAGCAGCCGCGGUAAUACGGAGGGUGCAAGCGUUAAUCGGAAUUACUGGGCGUAAAGCGCACGCAGGCGGUCUGUCAAGUCGGAUGUGAAAUCCCCGGGCUCAACCUGGGAACUGCAUUCGAAACUGGCAGGCUAGAGUCUUGUAGAGGGGGGUAGAAUUCCAGGUGUAGCGGUGAAAUGCGUAGAGAUCUGGAGAAAUACCGGUGGCGAAGGCGGCCCCCUGGACAAAGACUGACGCUCAGGUGCGAAAGCGUGGGGAGCAAACAGGAUUAGAUACCCUUGUAGUC